UACAGAGGUCUCAAGCGUUGUUCGGAUUCAUUGGGCGUAAAGGGUGCGUAAGUGGCGCGGUAAGUCGGGUGUGAAAUCUCGGAGCUUAACUCCGAAAUUGCAUUCGAUACUGCCGUGCUUGAGGACUGGAGAGGAGACUGGAAUUUACGGUGUAGCAGUGAAAUGCGUAGAGAUCGUAAGGAAGACCAGUGGCGAAGGCGGGUCUCUGGACAGUUCCUGACACUGAGGCACGAAGGCCAGGGGAGCAAACGGG
rnacentral:rRNA from 1 species